rnacentral:tRNA from 1 species
UGUUCUAUGGCCGAACUGGUAAAGAAAGGCAUUGCCGAUCACAGGCAAGGUUGCGGGUUCGUGUCCCGCUGGAACGG